GGUUAAGCGACUAAGCGUACACGGUGGAUGCCCUGGCAGUCAGAGGCGAUGAAGGACGUGCUAAUCUGCGAUAAGCGUCGGUAAGGUGAUAUGAACCGUUAUAACCGGCGAUUUCCGAAUGGGGAAACCCAGUGUGAUUCGUCACACUAUCAUUAACUGAAUCCAUAGGUUAAUGAGGCGAACCGGGGGAACUGAAACAUCUAAGUACCCCGAGGAAAAGAAAUCAACCGAGAUUCCCCCAGUAGCGGCGAGCGAACGGGGAGCAGCCCAGAGCCUGAAUCAGUGUGUGUGUUAGUGGAAGCGUCUGGAAAGGCGCGCGAUACAGGGUGACAGCCCCGUACACAAAAAUGCACAUGCUGUGAGCUCGAUGAGUAGGGCGGGACACGUGGUAUCCUGUCUGAAUAUGGGGGGACCAUCCUCCAAGGCUAAAUACUCCUGACUGACCGAUAGUGAACCAGUACCGUGAGGGAAAGGCGAAAAGAACCCCGGCGAGGGGAGUGAAAAAGAACCUGAAACCGUGUACGUACAAGCAGUGGGAGCACGCUUAGGCGUGUGACUGCGUACCUUUUGUAUAAUGGGUCAGCGACUUAUAUUCUGUAGCAAGGUUAACCGAAUAGGGGAGCCGAAGGGAAACCGAGUCUUAACUGGGCGUUAAGUUGCAGGGUAUAGACCCGAAACCCGGUGAUCUAGCCAUGGGCAGGUUGAAGGUUGGGUAACACUAACUGGAGGACCGAACCGACUAAUGUUGAAAAAUUAGCGGAUGACUUGUGGCUGGGGGUGAAAGGCCAAUCAAACCGGGAGAUAGCUGGUUCUCCCCGAAAGCUAUUUAGGUAGCGCCUCGUGAAUUCAUCUCCGGGGGUAGAGCACUGUUUCGGCAAGGGGGUCAUCCCGACUUACCAACCCGAUGCAAACUGCGAAUACCGGAGAAUGUUAUCACGGGAGACACACGGCGGGUGCUAACGUCCGUCGUGAAGAGGGAAACAACCCAGACCGCCAGCUAAGGUCCCAAAGUCAUGGUUAAGUGGGAAACGAUGUGGGAAGGCCCAGACAGCCAGGAUGUUGGCUUAGAAGCAGCCAUCAUUUAAAGAAAGCGUAAUAGCUCACUGGUCGAGUCGGCCUGCGCGGAAGAUGUAACGGGGCUAAACCAUGCACCGAAGCUGCGGCAGCGACGCUUAUGCGUUGUUGGGUAGGGGAGCGUUCUGUAAGCCUGUGAAGGUGUGCUGUGAGGCAUGCUGGAGGUAUCAGAAGUGCGAAUGCUGACAUAAGUAACGAUAAAGCGGGUGAAAAGCCCGCUCGCCGGAAGACCAAGGGUUCCUGUCCAACGUUAAUCGGGGCAGGGUGAGUCGACCCCUAAGGCGAGGCCGAAAGGCGUAGUCGAUGGGAAACAGGUUAAUAUUCCUGUACUUGGUGUUACUGCGAAGGGGGGACGGAGAAGGCUAUGUUGGCCGGGCGACGGUUGUCCCGGUUUAAGCGUGUAGGCUGGUUUUCCAGGCAAAUCCGGAAAAUCAAGGCUGAGGCGUGAUGACGAGGCACUACGGUGCUGAAGCAACAAAUGCCCUGCUUCCAGGAAAAGCCUCUAAGCAUCAGGUAACAUCAAAUCGUACCCCAAACCGACACAGGUGGUCAGGUAGAGAAUACCAAGGCGCUUGAGAGAACUCGGGUGAAGGAACUAGGCAAAAUGGUGCCGUAACUUCGGGAGAAGGCACGCUGAUACGUAGGUGAAGUCCCUCGCGGAUGGAGCUGAAAUCAGUCGAAGAUACCAGCUGGCUGCAACUGUUUAUUAAAAACACAGCACUGUGCAAACACGAAAGUGGACGUAUACGGUGUGACGCCUGCCCGGUGCCGGAAGGUUAAUUGAUGGGGUCAGCGCAAGCGAAGCUCUUGAUCGAAGCCCCGGUAAACGGCGGCCGUAACUAUAACGGUCCUAAGGUAGCGAAAUUCCUUGUCGGGUAAGUUCCGACCUGCACGAAUGGCGUAAUGAUGGCCAGGCUGUCUCCACCCGAGACUCAGUGAAAUUGAACUCGCUGUGAAGAUGCAGUGUACCCGCGGCAAGACGGAAAGACCCCGUGAACCUUUACUAUAGCUUGACACUGAACAUUGAGCCUUGAUGUGUAGGAUAGGUGGGAGGCUUUGAAGUGUGGACGCCAGUCUGCAUGGAGCCGACCUUGAAAUACCACCCUUUAAUGUUUGAUGUUCUAACGUUGACCCGUGAUCCGGGUUGCGGACAGUGUCUGGUGGGUAGUUUGACUGGGGCGGUCUCCUCCUAAAGAGUAACGGAGGAGCACGAAGGUUGGCUAAUCCUGGUCGGACAUCAGGAGGUUAGUGCAAUGGCAUAAGCCAGCUUGACUGCGAGCGUGACGGCGCGAGCAGGUGCGAAAGCAGGUCAUAGUGAUCCGGUGGUUCUGAAUGGAAGGGCCAUCGCUCAACGGAUAAAAGGUACUCCGGGGAUAACAGGCUGAUACCGCCCAAGAGUUCAUAUCGACGGCGGUGUUUGGCACCUCGAUGUCGGCUCAUCACAUCCUGGGGCUGAAGUAGGUCCCAAGGGUAUGGCUGUUCGCCAUUUAAAGUGGUACGCGAGCUGGGUUUAGAACGUCGUGAGACAGUUCGGUCCCUAUCUGCCGUGGGCGCUGGAGAACUGAGGGGGGCUGCUCCUAGUACGAGAGGACCGGAGUGGACGCAUCACUGGUGUUCGGGUUGUCAUGCCAAUGGCACUGCCCGGUAGCUAAAUGCGGAAGAGAUAAGUGCUGAAAGCAUCUAAGCACGAAACUUGCCCCGAGAUGAGUUCUCCCUGACUCCUUGAGAGUCCUGAAGGAACGUUGAAGACGACGACGUUGAUAGGCCGGGUGUGUAAGCGCAGCGAUGCGUUGAGCUAACCGGUACUAAUGAACCGUGAGGCUUAACCUU
rnacentral:rRNA from 1 species